ACCCAAGGUCAUGCGGGAUUACCUGCUGAGUUUAAGAAUAUCAAUAAGAGGAGGAAAAGAAACUUUCAAGGAUUCUCUUAGUAACAGUGAGCGAACCAGGAACAUCCCAACCUUAGAAUCGGGUGGCUCCAUCAUCCUAAUUGUAGUCUGGAGAAGCAUUUUUAGUGGUGGAUCGGGCUCUAGCCCCAUUGAAAGGGGUGCCAUAGAGAGUGAGAGCCUCAUUGUACUCGGACCUUAUCGCACCACGAGGCACUAUAUACAAUUUAGGAUUUUUGGGAAUACAGCCUAAAUCAGGUGGUGUAUCCCGUCCAAGGCUAAAUACGGGUGAGAGACCGAUAGCAAACAAGUACCGUAAGGGAAAGAUGAAAAGGACUUUGAAAAAAGAGUUAAAGAGUUCUUGAAAUUAUGGUUAGGGAAGCAAAUGGGGGCUGGCGAUGCACCCCGAUCGGAUGUCGAACGGCGAUGAGCCGGUCUGCCGAUCGACUUGGGACAUGGACCAGCGUGGAUUGAGGGAGCAUCCAAAACUCGGGCUCUCAAUACGCUCAUGGAAUGCCAUCUCCUCGAUUGUGGUAGGAAGUGCAUACCUCUGGCGUGCUUCGAUAUCUGCGUGUUCCGGAUGCUGGCUUGUGGACCCCCCAUUUGACCCGUCUUAAAACACGGACCAAGGAGUCUGACAUGAGUAAACCCAUAAGCCACAAAAAGGUGAUUGGUGGGAUGCCCCUGUGGGGUGCACCAUCGACCGACCUUGAUCUUCUGUGAAGGGUUCGAGUGUAAGCAUUCCUGCCGGGACUUGAAAGAUGGUGAACUGUGCCUGAGCGGGCAAAGCCAUAGAUAGCUCUUGUGAAGGCCCGCAGUGAUACUAACAUGCAAAUCAUUCGGCUUAUUUGGGUAUAGGGGUGAAAGAUUAAUCGAACCGUCUAAUAGCUGGUUCCCUCCAAAGUUUUUUUUAGGAUAACUGGGGCUCGCGUUCGAGUUUUAUCAUAUAAAGCCAAUGAUUAGUGGCCACAAGGGCGCAAUGCCCUCGACCUAUUCUUAAACUUUAAAUAGGUAGGACUGCAUGACUGCUUUGUUGAGACAUGCCAUGGAAUCAAGAGCUCAUACUGGGCUAUUUUUUAUUUGCAGAAUAGGUUAUGCGGGAUGAACCAGAAGCAGGGUUACGGUGCCAAACUAUGCGCUAACCUAGAUCCCACUAAGGGUGUUGUUGAUUAAGACAGCAGGAUGGUGGUCAGAAGAGUCUAAAUCCACUAAGGAGUGUAUAACAACUCACCUGCCUAAUCAAUUAGCCCCAAAAAUAGAUGACGCUUAAGUGAAUGACCUACACCCAGCCAUCGGGGAAAGUUCCAGGCCCCGAUAAAUAGGAGGGCACGAUAGUCACUGUAAAAUCUUGGGCGUAAGCUUGACUAGAGAGUCCAUCGUUGUAGAUCUUAGUGGUAGUAGAAAAUAUUCAUAUGAGAGCUUUGAAUGCCGAAGAGGGGAAAGGUUCCAUGUGAAUGAUAAUUGCACAUAGGUUAGUCGAUCCUAAGGGUCGGGAAAACUCCAAUAGAUAGCACGUUUCGCGUGUUCUCCCCAUGAGAAUUGGGUUAAAAUUCCUGAACAAGUAUGUGGUGGAUGAUGACAAUGUUAGGAAAUCCGGAGACGUCGGUGGGAACCUAAGAAAGAGUUAUCCUUUCUGUUUAAUAGCCUUCCCACCCUGGAAUCGGCUCAUCCAGAGCUAGGGUCCAACGACUGGAAGAGUAUCGCACGUAUCAUGGUGUCUGGUGCGCUCCCAGUGGCCAUUAAAGAUUUGAAGGACCAAAUGUCAUCCAUGCCCGAUCGUACUCAUAACUGCAUCAGGUCUCCAAGGUGAACAACCUCUGGUCGAUGGAACAAUAUAGGCAAGGGAAGUCGGCAAAAUGGAUCCGUAACUUUGGAAAAAGGAUUACCUCUGAGGGCUAGGUGCGGGUGUCCCAGUCUCGAACCUAUCAAAAAUUGGUAGACUGCUCGAGCUGCUCCUGUGACAAGAGUGGGUCGCCACGUGCAGGCCAUGGAACAAACUGGGAACGGUUCCUUUGGGGGCCUUCCACGCGCGUUGAACAGCUAACUCAGAAAUGGUAUAGAAAAGGAGAAUCCAACUAUUUAAUUAAAACAAAGCAUUGCGAUGGUCCCAGCGGAUGUUCACGCAAAGUGAGUUCUGCCAGUGCUCUAAAUAUCAAGGUAAAGAAAUUUAACCAAGCACGGGUAAAUGGUGGGAGUAACUAUGACUCUCUUAAGGUAGCCAAAUGCCUCGUCAUCUAAUUUUUGACGCACAUGAAUGGAUUAAUGAGAUUCAAACUGUGCCUGUCUACUAUCCAGUGAAACCAUAGCCAAGGGAAUGGGCUUGGUUGAAUUAACGGGGAAAAAAGACCUUGUUGGGCUUGACUUUAGUCCGACUUUGUGAAAUGACUUGAGAGGUGUAGUAUAAGUGGGAGAUGAAAGGCGAAAGUGAAAUACCACUAUUUUUUAUGUUAUUUAACUUAUUCCAUGAAUCGAAAAUGGGGUACUGUCCCACUUUUAGGACCCAAGGCAUGCUCUGCGGGCUGAUCCGGGGAGAAAACAUAGUCAGGUGGGGAGUUUGGCUGGGGUGACACAUUUGUUAGAAGAUAACAUAGGUGUCCUAAGAUGAGAUCAACUAGAACAAAAAUCUUAUUUGGAAUAGAGGGGUAAAAUCUCAUUUGAUUUUGAUUCCCAGUAUGAAUACGAACCGUGAAAGCGUCUCCUAAUGAUCCUUUAGACUUUUAAAAGUCGAAGCUAGAGGUGUCUGAAAAGUUACCACAGGGAUAACUAGAUUGUUUCUGCCAAGCGUUCAUAGCGACGUUCUUUUUUAUUCUUUGAUGUCGGCUCUUCGUAUCAUUAUGAAGCAGAAUUCACCAAGUAUUAGAUUGUUCACCCACCAAUAGGGAAUAUGAGAUGGGUUUAUACCAUCGUGAGAUAGGUUAGUUUUACCCUACUGAUGACAAUAUCAUAAUAGUAAUUCAACCUAGUAUGAGAGGAACCGCUGAUUCUAAUAAUUGGUUAUCGCACUUGGUUGAAAAGCCAGUGACAUGAAGCUAUCAUGUGUUGGAUUAUGAUUGAAUGCCUCUAAGUCAUAAUUUGGGCUAGAAGCAAUGCAUACGACCGUCGUCUGCUUGCUAACCCAUAGUAGUGGCCUCUUCCCCCAAGGGCACAUGUCGUUGGCUAAGCCAUCGCGGUGGAAUGGUCAAGGUGGCUGCCUUGAAGUACAUUUUCCAUCGAGCGGUGAGUAGAAUCCUUUGAAGAUGGCUUAAAUACGUGA
rnacentral:rRNA from 1 species